rnacentral:rRNA from 1 species
CGACUUGGAGGUUGUUCCCUUGAGGAGUGGCUUCCGGAGCUAACGCGUUAAGUCGACCGCCUGGGGAGUACGGCCGCAAGGUUAAAACUCAAAUGAAUUGACGGGGGCCCGCACAAGCGGUGGAGCAUGUGGUUUAAUUCGAUGCAACGCGAAGAACCUUACCUACUCUUGACAUCCACGGAAUUCGGCAGAGAUGCCUUAGUGCCUUCGGGAACCGUGAGACAGGUGCUGCAUGGCUGUCGUCAGCUCGUGUUGUGAAAUGUUGGGUUAAGUCCCGCAACGAGCGCAACCCUUAUCCUUUGUUGCCAGCGACACGGUCGGGAACUCAAAGGAGACUGCCGGUGAUAAACCGGAGGAAGGUGGGGAUGACGUCAAGUCAUCAUGGCCCUUACGAGUAGGGCUACACACGUGCUACAAUGGCGCAUACAAAGAGAAGCGACCUCGCGAGAGCAAGCGGACCUCACAAAGUGCGUCGUAGUCCGGAUCGGAGUCUGCAACUCGACUCCGUGAAGUCGGAAUCGCUAGUAAUCGUGGAUCAGAAUGCCACGGUGAAUACGUUCCCGGGCCUUGUACACACCGCCCGUCACACCAUGGGAGUGGGUUGCAAAAGAAGUAGGUAGCUUAACCUUCGGGAGGGCGCUUACCACUUUGUGAUUCAUGACUGGGGUGAAGUCGUAACAAGGUAGC